rnacentral:rRNA from 1 species
UGGGGAAUUUUGGACAAUGGGCGAAAGCCUGAUCCAGCAAUGCCGCGUGUGUGAAGAAGGCCUUCGGGUUGUAAAGCACUUUUGUCCGGAAAGAAAUCCUUGGCUCUAAUACAGUCGGGGGAUGACGGUACCGGAAGAAUAAGCACCAGCUAACUACGUGCCAGCAGCCGCGGUAAUACGUAGGGUGCAAGCGUUAAUCGGAAUUACUGGGCGUAAAGCGUGCGCAGGCGGUUUGCUAAGACCGAUGUGAAAUCCCCGGGCUCAACCUGGGAACUGCAUUGGUGACUGGCAGGCUAGAGUAUGGCAGAGGGGGGUAGAAUUCCACGUGUAGCAGUGAAAUGCGUAGAGAUGUGGAGGAAUACCGAUGGCGAAGGCAGCCCCCUGGGCCAAUACUGACGCUCAUGCACGAAAGCGUGGGGAGCAAACAGGAUUAGAUACCCUGGUAGUCCACGCCCUAAACGAUGUCAACUAGUUGUUGGGGAUUCAUUUCCUUAGUAACGUAGCUAACGCGUGAAGUUGACCGCCUGGGGAGUACGGUCGCAANAUU